rnacentral:rRNA from 1 species
UACAGAGGUCCCAAGCGUUGUUCGGAUUCACUGGGCGUAAAGGGUGCGUAGGUGGCGUGGUAAGUUUGAUGUGAAAGCUCAGGGCUUAACCCUGAAAUGGCAUUGAAUACUACUGUGCUGGAGGUUUGGAGGGGGGACUGGAAUCCUUGGUGUAGCAGUGAAAUGCGUAGAUAUCAAGAGGAACACCAGUGGCGAAGGCGAGUCCCUGGACAACACCUGACACUGAGGCACGAAAGCGUGGGGAGCGAACAGG